rnacentral:rRNA from 1 species
GAUGAACGCUGGUGGCGUGCCUAAUACAUGCAAGUCGAGCGAACAGACGAGGAGCUUGCUCCUUCGACGUUAGCGGCGGACGGGUGAGUAACACGUAGGUAACCUACCUAUAAGACUGGGAUAACUUCGGGAAACCGGAGCUAAUACCGGAUAAUAUUUCGAACCGCAUGGUUCGAUAGUGAAAGAUGGCUUUGCUAUCACUUAUAGAUGGACCUGCGCCGUAUUAGCUAGUUGGUAAGGUAACGGCUUACCAAGGCAACGAUACGUAGCCGACCUGAGAGGGUGAUCGGCCACACUGGAACUGAGACACGGUCCAGACUCCUACGGGAGGCAGCAGUAGGGAAUCUUCCGCAAUGGGCGAAAGCCUGACGGAGCAACGCCGCGUGAGUGAUGAAGGUCUUCGGAUCGUAAAACUCUGUUAUUAGGGAAGAACAAACGUGUAAGUAACUGUGCACGUCUUGACGGUACCUAAUCAGAAAGCCACGGCUAACUACGUG